UCCUACGUAGCAUAGAGGUUAUUGCGUUCGCUGUGUAUUGGUACGCGAGGAGACGGCGGUUCGAUUCCGCUCGUAGGUA
rnacentral:tRNA from 1 species